rnacentral:misc_RNA from 1 species
AAGUCGUAACAAGGUCUCCGUAGGUGAACCUGCGGAGGGAUCAUUAGAAAAUCCAAACCUGCGCAUGCACGGCUUUUCGCUGUGCUGCGCACCCACUAUCUAUGCCUGGGUUUUUCACUGCUGGACCUUGCGUUCGGCGGUGGCCUAGUUGCUAUCUAUAUACACCUAACUACUGCUGCGAGCCGUCAUGGCUUUGCGUGGUAAACUGAACCUUUUUCUCCUUCCUAUCUGUAUUCGCCUUUACGGCUGUAUUGAUGGAAAGAAUAAAAACCAAAAACAACUUUUAACAAUGGAUCCCUCGGCUCUCC